GCGGGAUUAGUUUAGUGGUAAAACAACAGUUUUCCAAACUGUAGUUGGGAGUUCGAUUCUCCCAUCCCGCACCA
rnacentral:tRNA from 1 species